rnacentral:rRNA from 1 species
UGAGGAAUAUUGGUCAAUGGGCGCUAGCCUGCACCAGCCAAGUAGCGUGAAGGAUGAAGGCUCUAUGGGUCGUAAACUUCUCUUAUAUAAGAAUAAAGUGCAGUAUGUAUACUGUCUUGUAUGUAUUAUAUGAAUAAGGAUCGGCUAACUCCGUGCCAGCAGCCGCGGUAAUACGGAGGAUCCGAGCGUUAUCCGGAUUUAUUGGGUUUAAAGGGAGCGUAGGUGGACUGGUAAGUCAGUUGUGAAAGUUUGCGGCUCAACCGUAAAGUUGCAGUUGAUACUGUCAGUCUUGAGUACAGUAGAGGUGGGCGGAAUUCGUGGUGUAGCGGUGAAAUGCUUAGAUAUCACGAAGAACUCCGAUUACGAAGGCAGCUCACUGGACUGCAACUGACACUGAUGCAAGAAAGUGUGGGUAUCAAACAGG